GAGUUUGAUCCUGGCCUCCAGAUUGUAACGCUCUGGCCGGGCCAAUGCCUCUGAAACGACCCAUGCAAGUCGAACGGUAACGCGAGGAGCUUGCUCCUUGGCGACGAGUGGCGGACGGGUGAGUAAUGCUUGGGAAUCUGCCCAGUAGUGGGGGACAACACGGGGAAACUCGUGCUAAUACCGCAUACGUCCUACGGGAGAAAGUGGAGGAUCUUCGGACUUCACGCUAUUGGAUGAGCCCAAGUCGGAUUAGCUUGUUGGUGGGGUAAAGGCCUACCAAGGCGACGAUCCGUAGCUGGUCUGAGAGGACGAUCAGCCACACUGGGACUGAGACACGGCCCAGACUCCUACGGGAGGCAGCAGUGGGGAAUAUUGGACAAUGGGGGCAACCCUGAUCCAGCAAUGCCGCGUGUGUGAAGAAGGCCUGCGGGUUGUAAAGCACUUUCAGUAGAGAAGAAAAGCCAGGGGUUAAUACCCCCGGGUCUUGACGUAACCUACAGAAGAAGCACCGGCUAACUCCGUGCCAGCAGCCGCGGUAAUACGGAGGGUGCGAGCGUUAAUCGGAAUUACUGGGCGUAAAGCGCGCGUAGGCGGCUAGGUCAGUCGGAUGUGAAAGCCCCGGGCUUAACCUGGGAAUUGCAUUCGAAACUGCCUGGCUAGAGUAUGGGAGAGGGAAGCGGAAUUUCCGGUGUAGCGGUGAAAUGCGUAGAUAUCGGAAGGAACACCAGUGGCGAAGGCGGCUUCCUGGCCCAAAUACUGACGCUCAGGUGCGAAAGCGUGGGUAGCGAACAGGAUUAGAUACCCUGGUAGUCCACGCCGUAAACGAUGAGAACUAGAUGUCGGGAGGAUUUACCUUUCGGUGUCGCAGCUAACGCAUUAAGUUCUCCGCCUGGGGAGUACGCCGGCAACGGUAAAACUCAAAGGAAUUGACGG
rnacentral:rRNA from 1 species